AUGGGUGUCGCUCCACACCUGGUCCUCCUCCCCCCACACCUGGUCCUCCUCCCCCCACACCUGGUCCUCCUCCCCCCACACCUGGUCCUCCUCCCUCCACACCUGGUCCUCCUCCCUCCACACCUGGUACUCCUCCCUCCACACCUGGUCCUCCUCCCACACCUGGUCCUCCUCCCUCCACACCUGGUCCUCCUCCCCCACACCUGGUCCUCCUCCCUCCACACCUGGUCCUCCUCCCCCACACCUGGUGCUCCUCCCUCCACACCUGGUCCUCCUCCCUCCACACCUGGUCCUCCUCCCCCACACCUGGUCCUCCUCCCUCCACACCUGGUCCUCCUCCCUCCACACCUGGUCCUCCCUCCACACCUGCUCCUCCUCCCCCCACACCUGCUCCUCCUCCCUCCACACCUGGUCCUCCUCCCCCCACACCUGGUCCUCCUCCCCCACACCUGGUGCUCCUCCCUCCACACCUGGUCCUCCUCCUCCACACCUGGUCCUCCUCCCCCACACCUGGUCCUCCCUCCACACCUGGUCCUCCUCCCCCACACCUGCUCCUCCUCCCCCACACCUGCUCCUCCUCCCCCCACACCUGGUCCUCCUCCCCCCACACCUGGUCCUCCUCCCCAUCCAGUCCUCCUCCCCCCACACCUGGUCCCCCUCCCCCACACCUGGUCCUCCUCCCCCCACACCUGGUACUCCUCCCCAUCCAGUCUUCCUCCCCCCACACCUGGUCCUCCUCCCCAUCCAGUCCUCCUCCCCCCACACCUGGUCUUCCUCCCCCCACACCUGGUCCUCCUCCCCCCACACCUGGUCCUCCUCCCCAUCCAGUCCUCCUCCCUCCACACCUGGUCCUCCUCCCCCCACACCGGUUCCUCCUCCCUCCACACCUGGUCCUCCUCCCCACACCUGCUCCUCCUCCCCCACACCUGCUCCUCCUCCCCCCACACCUGGUCCUCCUCCCCCCACACCUGGUCAUCCUCCCUCGUCACCUGGUCCUCCUCCCCCCACACCUGGUCCUCCUCCCCAUCCAGUCCUCCUCCCCCCACACCUGGUCUUCCUCCCCCCACACCUGGUCCUCCUCCCCCCACACCUGGUCCUCCUCCCCAUCCAGUCCUCCUCCCCCCACACCUGGUCCUCCUCCCUCCACACCUGGUCCUCCUCCCCCCACACCUGGUCAUCCUCCCUCCACACCUGGUCCUCCUCCCUCCACACCUGGUCCUCCUCCCCCCACACCUGGUCCUCCUCCCCAUCCAGUCCUCCUCC
rnacentral:lncRNA from 1 species